UGCAGUCGAACGCGAAAGUUAACUUCGGUUAGCGAGUAGAGUGGCGCACGGGUGAGUAACGCGUAAAUAAUCUACCCUGAUGUCUGGGAUAACCCUUCGAAAGGAGGACUAAUACCGGGUAUAUACUUAGAUGUUGGUUUAAGUAGGAAAGGUGGCCUCUAUUUAUAAGCUAUCGCAUUGGGAUGAGUUUGCGUACCAUUAGCUAGUUGGUGGGGUAAAGGCUUACCAAGGCAACGAUGGUUAGCGGGUCUGAGAGGAUGAUCCGUCACACUGGCACUGGAACACGGGCCAGACUCCUACGGGAGGCAGCAGUGAGGAAUAUUGCGCAAUGGGGGCAACCCUGACGCAGCGACGCCGCGUGAGUGAGGAAGGCCUUCGGGUCGUAAAGCUCUGUCAGAUGGGAAGAAGUGUUAUACGGUUAAUACCCGUAUGAUUUGACGGUACCAUCAAAGGAAGCACCGGCUAACUCCGUGCCAGCAGCCGCGGUAAUACGGAGGGUGCGAGCGUUGUUCGGAAUCACUGGGCGUAAAGGGCGCGCAGGCGGUUUGUUUAGUCAGAUGUGAAAGCCCACGGCUUAACCGUGGAAGUGCAUUUGAAACUGGCAGACUUGAGUACCAGAGGGGAAGGUGGAAUUCCCGGUGUAGAGGUGAAAUUCGUAGAUAUCGGGAGGAAUACCGGUGGCGAAGGCGACUUUCUGGCUGGAUACUGACGCUGAG
rnacentral:rRNA from 1 species